rnacentral:rRNA from 1 species
GACUUUGAUUAUGGCUCAGGACGAACGCUGGCGGCGUGCCUAACACAUGCAAGUCGAACGGAGUUAUGCGCUGAGCGGAAGGUGCUUGCACUGGAAGCUCUUGUAUAACUUAGUGGCGGACGGGUGAGUAACGCGUGAGCAACCUGCCCUUCAGAGGGGGAUAACGUUUGGAAACGAACGCUAAUACCGCAUGAGACCACGGCUCCACAUGGGGCAGCGGUCAAAGGAGCAAUCCGCUGAAAGAUGGGCUCGCGUCCGAUUAGAUAGUUGGCGGGGUAACGGCCCACCAAGUCGACGAUCGGUAGCCGGACUGAGAGGUUGAACGGCCACAUUGGGACUGAGACACGGCCCAGACUCCUACGGGAGGCAGCAGUGAGGGAUAUUGGUCAAUGGGGGGAACCCUGAACCAGCAACGCCGCGUGAGGGAAGACGGUUUUCGGAUUGUAAACCUCUGUCCUCUGUGAAGAUAAUGACGGUAGCAGAGGAGGAAGCUCCGGCUAACUACGUGCCAGCAGCCGCGGUAAUACGCAGGGAGCGAGCGUUGUCCGGAUUUACUGGGUGUAAAGGGUGCGUAGGCGGUUUUGCAAGUCAGAAGUGAAAUCCAUGGGCUUAACCCAUGAACUGCUUUUGAAACUGCAGGACUUGAGUGAAGUAGAGGUAGGCGGAAUUCCCGGUGUAGCGGUGAAAUGCGUAGAGAUCGGGAGGAACACCAGUGGCGAAGGCGGCCUACUGGGCUUUAACUGACGCUGAAGCACGAAAGCGUGGGUAGCAAACAGGAUUAGAUACCCUGGUAGUCCAUGCCGUAAACGAUGAUUACUAGGUGUGGGGGGACUGACCCCCUCCGUGCCGGAGUUAACACAAUAAGUAAUCCACCUGGGGAGUACGACCGCAAGGUUGCAACUCAAAGGAAUUGACGGA